CCUACGGGUGGCUGCAGUGGGGAAUAUUGGACAAUGGGGGCAACCCUGAUCCAGCCAUGCCGCGUGUGUGAAGAAGGCCCGCGGGUUGUAAAGCACUUUCAGUGAGGAAGAACGCCUGGUGGUUAAUACCCAUCAGGAAAGACAUCACUCACAGAAGAAGCACCGGCUAACUCCGUGCCAGCAGCCGCGGUAAUACGGAGGGUGCGAGCGUUAAUCGGAAUUACUGGGCGUAAAGCGCGCGUAGGUGGCUUGAUAAGCCGGUUGUGAAAGCCCCGGGCUCAACCUGGGAACGGCAUCCGGAACUGUCAAGCUAGAGUGCAGGAGAGGAAGGUAGAAUUCCCGGUGUAGCGGUGAAAUGCGUAGAGAUCGGGAGGAAUACCAGUGGCGAAGGCGGCCUUCUGGACUGACACUGACACUGAGGUGCGAAAGCGUGGGUAGCAAACAGGAUUAGAUACCCCAGUAGUC
rnacentral:rRNA from 1 species